UACGUAGGGUGCGAGCGUUGUCCGGAAUUAUUGGGCGUAAAGGGCUCGUAGGCGGUCUGUCACGUCGAAAGUGAAAACUCAGGGCUCAACCCUGAGCCUGCUUCCGAUACGGGCAGACUAGAGGUAUGCAGGGGAGAAUGGAAUUCCUGGUGUAGCGGUGGAAUGCGCAGAUAUCAGGAGGAACACCGAUGGCGAAGGCAGGUCUCUGGGCCACUACUGACGCUGAGAAGCGAAAGCAUGGGGAGCGAACAGG
rnacentral:rRNA from 1 species